UAACGGCGAGUGAACCGGGAUGAGCUCAAAUUUAAAAUCUGGCGUCUUUCAGGCGUCCGAGUUGUAAUCUAUAGAGGCGUUUUCCGCGCCGGACCGCGUCCAAGUCUCUUGGAAUAGAGUAUCAAAGAGGGUGACAAUCCCGUACUUGACGCGACAACCGGUGCUCUGUGAUACGUUCUCAAUGAGUCGAGUUGUUUGGGAAUGCAGCUCUAAAUGGGUGGUAAAUUCCAUCUAAGGCUAAAUAUUGGCGAGAGACCGAUAGCGAACAAGUACCGUGAGGGAAAGAUGAAAAGCACUUUGGAAAGAGAGUUAAACAGCACGUGAAAUUGUUAAAAGGGAAACGAUUGAAGUCAGUCGUGUGAAAGGUAUUCAGCCGUCUCUGGCGGUGUAUUUGCCUUUCACGGGUCAACAUCAGUUUGAUCCGGUAGAAAAAGGCGGGAGGAAGGUGGCACCCUCGGGUGUGUUAUAGCCUCCUGUCAUAUGUGCCGGACCAGACUGAGGAACGCAGCUUGCCGCAAGGCCGGGGUUCGCCCACGUACAAGCUUAGGAUGUUGACAUAAUGGCUUUAAA
rnacentral:rRNA from 1 species